rnacentral:rRNA from 1 species
UUGUCCUACGGGAGGCAGCAGUGGGGAAUAUUGCGCAAUGGACGAAAGUCUGACGCAGCGACGCCGCGUGAGGGAUGGAGGUUUUCGGAUCGUAAACCUCUGUCAGGAGGGAAGAAAGCGCAUGGCGCCAAUCAGCCAUGCGUUGACGGUACCUCCAAAGGAAGCGCCGGCUAACUCCGUGCCAGCAGCCGCGGUAAUACGGAGGGCGCGAGCGUUAAUCGGAAUUACUGGGCGUAAAGGGUGUGCAGGCGGCUGAGUAAGACAGAUGUGAAAUCCCCGGGCUUAACCUGGGAACCGCAUAUGUG